GAAUUUUUGUAGUUCUGUGAAGACUGAUGUUGGUACUUUAAUGGGGAUUACAUUGAGUUUGUAGAUUGCUUUUGGCAGUAUGGUAUUUUCACAAUAUUGAUUUUACCCAUCCGUGAGCAUGGGAUAUGUUUCCAUUUCUUUGUAUCUAUGAUUUCUAUCAGCAGUGUUUUGUAGUUUUCCUUGUAGAGGUCUUUUGUCUCUUUGGUUAAGUAUUCCGGAUAUAAUUAAGAUUUUGUCUGCAAAGAUUGCAUGCAAUUGACAAUUAUAGGAAUAUACUAUUAUAAUUAUAGGAAUUAUAAUAUUCCUAAGGUUUUUAUUGCAACUAUUGUAAAAGGGGGUGAGUUUUUUAUUUAAUUCUCAGCUUGUUCACUAUUACUGUAUAGCAGAGCCACUGACUUGUGUACAUUAAUUUUUUAUCCUGAAACUUUGCUGAAUUCAUUUACCAGUUCUAGUAGCUUUUGGGAUGAGUCUUUAGGGUUUUCUAGGUAUACGAUCAUGUCAUCAGCAAAGAGUGACAGUUCGACUUUCUCUUUACCGAUUUGGAUGCCCUUUAUUUCUCUUAUCUGAUUGCUCUGGCGAGGACUUCUAGUACUAUGUUGAAUAGAACUGGUGAAAGUUGACAUCAUUGUCUUGUUCCAGUUUCAGGGGGAAUGCUUUCAACUUUUCCCCAUUCCAUAUAAUGUUGGCUGUGUGUUUGUCAUAUAUGGCUUUUAUUACCUUAAGAUAUGUCCCUUCGAUGUUGAUUUUGCUAAGGGUUUUAAUCAUAAAGGGAUUCUGGAUUUUGUCAAAUGCUUUUUCUAUGUCAAUUUUGCUGAGGGUUUUAGGCAUAAAGGGAUGAUGGAUUUUGUCAAAUCCUUUUUCUGCAUGUAUUGAGAGGAUCAUGUGAUUUUUGUUUUUAAUUCUGUUUAUAUGGUGUAUCACAUUUAUUGACUUGCAGAUGUUUAACCAUCCUGCAUCCCUGGUUUCUCUUCAGAUCGUAUACCUCUUUCACCUUAUGAUGGUUAAUUUUAUUUGCCAAGUUGGGUUGCCUAGAUAUUUGGUUAAACUCCCUGGAUGUGUCUGUGAGGGUGUUCCUUGAUGAGACGAACAUUUGAAUAUGUAGACUUAGUAAAGUAAUUGCCCUCCCCAGUGUGAGUGGGCCUCAUCCAAUCCAUUAAAACCCAAAUAAAACACAAGGGUAGAGGAAGAGAGAAUUCACUCUCUUUGAUGAUUUCAGAGCUGAGACGUAGAUCUUCUCUCGACUUUGAAGUCAGACGUGGACUGUAACUUAUGCCAUCAGCUUUCCUGGUUCUCAGGACUUUAGGCUUGGACUGGAACUCCAACAUUGGCAGUCCUGGUUCUCCAGCUUGCUGACUGCAGGUCCUGGGACUUCUUAGCCUCCAUAACCACAUGAGCCAAUCCCUUAUAAUAAACCUAUAUAUAUUCAUGCAACUGAUAAAUAUUUUGUUGUUACAGAUUUGGCUACCAUGUUCUUCUGGUGCCUAUUUUAACAGAGUCUCAGUCAUAGCCUUCCUUCGUCUCUGAAGGGACCAGGCGACCCACGGAGUGCCUCGGCAGCCUUGUCAUUACAUGCAAUCUUCACAGACAAGAUCUCACUGCAACCACCUUUCUACAGGAGCACAGGAAACACUGGCCUCCUUCAUCCUUAGUCUGUGUUGCUGGAAGUCACCCGUCUCCGAGGCCCCUUGGGAUCGACUGAGUGACCAGCAGUGAAGUUCGUCCACCUCCUGAAUGGAUGCCAUCAUCUGACGUGAUGGAGCUCAGUGGGAUGCUGCUGCCUUCCCUCGCUUAGCUAGGAUGUCCCUGAUAAAGGAUGACACCAAAGCCUCAGCACGACUGGCCAAACUUGAGGUGGUCAUCUCAGCACUGAUGCUGGGCCAACAAUUAGCCCCAUUUGUACAUUUUUACAAAUUUUUGGCAAUUGCCAAGAAUUCUCCACCUUCCCUCCCCAUUGAAUUAAAGAAACUUCUUGCCUCAUGGAUACUCAGAAUACAGUCAAGGUAACAGAUGCCUUUUUUUUUUUAACCAAGGACACAGUACGGAUCUCACAGGGACACUCCUUAUCCCCUGCAGAGAGUUCCAGACACUACUGAUGGUGACCAAGGCAACAUUUCAUCAGAAAACACAGUGCUAGGCUUGUGAAAGUGUCCAGUAGGGCUUCUACUGCCCCUAUAGGCUGCAGGCAGCUGCUUUAGUUGAGAGAUAGACUGAGCUCCUCAAAGAAUCCCUAUUUAAGUUACGAAGCAGCGAGUGGACGCCCUGCUGGGUUCCACUGUUGCCACAGGCUUUGAUUACUCUUAAGUUCAUGCUUCUUAGGAAAUUGCACUUUUUACACCAAUGCUACACAGUUCCCUCAGUUGCCUUUACUGGACAUCAAGGAGUUCACAUUUUUGACAACCAUUCAGUCCUGGACUGUCCAAGGGGUGGAGGUAGCUCCGUACAGGAAGCUGCCUGCUGCGUGUGGAUCAGUAAUAUCAGACUUGCCCAACAACUCACUGGAGACAUGAAAACCAAUGCAUGGGGGAUGCAUGACGUCACCCAAAUAUUUAUGAACACGCUUGUGCUGCCAGAGACCCCAGAUCUCUAAACCAAUGCAUGGGGAAUGCAUGAUGUCACCCAAAUAUUUAUGAACAGGCUUGUGCUGCCAGAGACCCCAGAUCACUUUUCCUGCCUCCUGCUAAAUAAAUGGGGGCAGUAGAUUUGCAUCGGUUUCCACAUUACAUUACUCAUAACUGUGGCCUUCCUAAUUUCUCAUAUCCCUAAGCACUUAUUACAAUGUCUCAGCAGCUUUCUCUCAGCCUCUCAAAAUAUUAGUCAUCAUGAAAAUAAAUGUCUGAUGUUAAAGCAUCAGGGGUCAAUUGUAUUGUGACACCUAAAAUUUCAUGCAGCACCCCACCAUGUUCUCAGCCUAAUGGCUUUCAUGGCCCCACCAGACUGCAAAACUCUGAAUUAGUCAAGCACAUCCCUGAAGGGACCAGGGGUUACUCCACCCUCUGAUUUCUAUCAAGCCUGCCUCCCACACCCUCUGUUCCAGAGUGCAACCCUGGGUAGACCUGCAUAAAUGCAGUGUCAUCCCCCUGGCUGAGUAUGUUUGACGAGUAAAUUACUGGGAAUUUCAUCUGCUCAGUGUUUGUUUUGUCUGCAGCCAUUCCCAGAAUUCUAGGCCAAUGGGGUGAACAGGAAGGAACCCAAGUAGGAAUUGCCUUUUUAAAAAAAUCCCUUCCCACCCUCUUAAUUAUGUAAUGCAUGCAUUUUUAUAGCUUUUUUGCUCAUUCCAUUACCUGAGGUCAGCCACUGAUAUUUAACCCAUCCUUAGCCUCGGAGGAGGGCAGAGGAGCACUGGUCAUAUUGAUUUCCCUAGCGGUGACAUGAUUUCCUCCUGUGCCACUCAAAUUCUCUCCUUCUUUAACUUGAUGCUCAGUAGGUUGUGUUUCUCUCGUCUUUGCAGAUUGUUAGGAAGAUGAGAAUCAGCUUUCAUUUUUGAUGUUGCCAUAGAGAAGCCUCCAUGGUAAUGUUUAUUUGCACAAUCAACUUUUUCUUUUCCCCCAGAAAUUGCAAAUUCUUAUGUGAGAGACAGCUUUCUGGAGUCUGCAAAUAUAGAGUAUCGUCUCUCUUUUGAUGGUAAAUUUAUUAUAUCCCCACCAUCAAUAAAAUACUUACAUAUAAUUUUGGCAUGUCAUAUUGAUUGCCAACUACACAUAAGAACAUUCCUUGAUUUUAAAUCUAGACUAAUUAUGAAAAUUUGGGUAGUCACAAAAAAUUAUUGUGCACAAAUUUAUAGACCUUAGGAUUAAAUGAGUUACUAUUAACUAAUAUUUAUUGUGCAGUCAGUGUAUGGCAGAAGCUUACUAUCUACUAUUUCAUUUUAUACUUAAAACAGUAUUCUAUGCAAAAUGCUAUAAUUUCACCAUGCCUCUAAUUUGGACAUGAUAAAACUGGGUCUUGUAAAGUUUUCACCCCAGAGUUCUCUGCUUAGUAAGAAGUAGAAAUAAGUUUAAACUUAAAUUAUCUGAUUUCAGAGCCCAUAUAGUUAAAUGCUCUAAAUGCAGCUUCCCCUGGUGAUGGUGACUAUGAGAGCCUGUCACAUAUGAUGUAGGACAGUGCUUCCCUGUAACAUGCACAAGAUUCCCGUGAUGAUGGUGACUAUGACAGCCUGUCAGAUACUAUGUAGGACAGUGCUUCCCUUUAAUAUGCACAGGAUUCCCGUGAUGAUGAUGACUAUGACAGCCUGUCACAUAUGAUGUAGGACAGUGCUUCCCCGUAACAUGCAGAGGAUUCCCGUGAUGACGGUGACUAUGAGAGCCUGUCACAUAUGAUGUAGGACAGUGCUUCCCCGUAACAUGCAGAGGAUUCCCGUGAUGACGGUGACUAUGAGAACCUGUCACAUAUGAUGUAGGACAGUGCUUCCCUGUAACGUGGGCAAGAUUCCCAUGAUGAUGGUGACUAUGAGAGCCUGUCAGAUACUAUGUAGAACAGUGCUUCCCUGUAACAUGCACAAGAUUCUUGUGAUGAUGGUGACUAUUUGAGCCUGUCACAUAUGAUGUAGGACAGUGCUUCCCUGUAACUUGCCCAAGAUUCCCGUGAUGAUGGUGACAAUGACAGCCUGUCAGAUACUAUGCAGAACAGUGCUUCCCUGUAACAUGCAGAAGAUUCCCGUGAUGAUGGUGACUAUUUGAGCCUGUCACAUAUGAUGUAGGACAGUGUUUCCCUGUAACAUGCACAAGAUUCCCGUGAUGAUGGUGAAUAUGACAGCCUGUCACAUAUGAUGUAGGACAGUGCUUCCCUGUAACAUGCAGAAGAUUCCCGUGAUGAUGGUGACUAUUUGAGCCUGUCACAUAUGAUGUAGGACAGUGUUUCCCUGUAACAUGCACAAGAUUCCCGUGAUGAUGGUGAAUAUGACAGCCUGUCACAUAUGAUGUAGGACAGUGCUUCCCUGUAACGUGUGCAAGAUUCCCGUGAUGAUGGCGACUAUGAGAGCCUGUCAGAUACGAUGUAGGACAGUGUUUCCCUGUAACAUGCACAAGAUUCACCCUGGCAUCUUCUUAUUAAAAUGCAAACUCAUGGACCACACUUUGACUAGCUAAGACAAGAGCAUUUAAAUGGAUGUCCAGGUGACAUUGCUAAGAUCCUACUCUUCAUGUGGGCACUGGCUCACCAUAUUAAUGAAGCUUAGGACCUCCAGUCCCUGCUGGAAAAGAAAUACAGAUACAUAGGAUAUGACUGUGCAUAUGGAAUGUCUGUUGUGUUCUCGACAUUGUACUAGACACUAGAGAUAAAAAAUCAAAUAUCCCUUGCCUCUUUCUGAAAGGAGCUUCCUACACAGUGGCUUCUGACUGCAGUGUAUAUUUUCUCUUCUGUCCUGGGUGGGUGAGCUCUAUCUCAAUGUUGGUAACUGAACACUGCCCAGUGGGUUUGAUGGGGGAGAUCACAGCUAGCUGCGCUCCCACAUAGCUAUGACCACAGCAUACCUCGUGAUGCCAUUUCCCCCUUGUCAGAAGCCUCCCUCCAGUAUCAUACACGCUCCCCAUGAUUAUAAAUUCUUCCUCCUUCCACUAAAUGUUCCUAAAUCUUGCAAAGAUAAAAACAUAAACCACAUUCUUGUCAUAUUAGUUAUAUAUUAAUGAUGAAAGUUCCUUACUUUUCUUUCUUAUUUUUUUGCGACGGAGUCUCGCUCUGUCCCCAGGCUGGAGUGCAAUGGCGUGAUCUCGGUUCCCUGCAAGCUCUGCCUCCCAGGUUCAUGCCAUUCUUCCGCCUCAGCCUUCCGAGUAGCUGGGACUACAGGCACCCACCACCACCCCUGGCUAAUUUUUUUGUAUUUUUAGUAGAGACGGGGUUUCACCAUGUUAUCCAGGAUGGUCUUGAUCUCCUGACCAUGUGAUCCGCAAGCCUCGGCCUCCCAAAGUGCUGGGAUUACAGGCAUGAGCCACCGCACCCAGCCCAAGUUCCUUAUUUUUCAUGUGUUUAAUAUUUUCUCCCAAUUUAUAGAAUAUAUUGAUUAAGAAUAAAUUUUAGCCAUGCACAUCUUUUACAAACUUCAUGAUAUACUUUGCUAUAUUUAAAUUUCUUAUACUCUUAUAAAAUGUGUGUUCUGAUCUCACGUUGGCUUCCAUUUCUUCCCUCUGGCUUCUAUAAGUUUAGGCUAUGAGCAGAGAUGGACGAGGUGGCUACUGUAAUAGAUCAAGGCUAUGAGCAGAGAUGGAUGUGAGGCAGCGGCUGUAAUGGAUUAAGGCUAUGAGCAUCUUGUGAAGUAGGAUGUAAAAUCUGUAAAUGUCAGAAUGAAUCCAAAGUUAUCAAUUCAAAGCUGGAUUGUAAAACAGCUCAAAAAAAGACUGAAAACACAGCUCUACACUUUAGGAGGCUGAGGCAGGCAGAUUGCUUAAGUUCAAGAGUUGGAGACAAGUCUAAGAAACAUGGAAAAACCGUCUCUACAAAAAAAAAUUUUUAAUUAGGAGGGUAUGGUGGUAUGAGCCUGUGGUCCCAGCUUUUCAGGAGGCUGAGGUGAGAGGAUUGCUUGAGCCCAGAAGGUAGAGGCUGCAGUGAGCUCCGAUCACGCCACUGCAUUUCAGCCUAGGUGACAGAGUGAGACCUGUCUCAAAAACAAACAAAAAUAACAAACAAAAACAGCUCUAAACAAAAGUGGCUAGAAAAGUAGCUCAAGUUGUUCCUGUCUGGUUAAAUAGAAACAUAAAUGAACUACUUAUGUGCCCCAGUGGCUUCAUAAUGCUGAGAGGAAAGUCAAUUAUUCUAGCAGGUUCUAGAAAACUUUAUCAUAUCAUGGGGUUCAAUGAAAAUAUCAAAUCAUAAAUAUAAUAGUCAAAUCUGAAAGUGAAUCUAGUUUCAAAGACCUCAGAAGCCAGUGUGUAGGAAGCUCUUUUCAGAUAGAGACAAAGGAUUAUUUGACUUCUUAUCUCUGUUGUCUAGCACAAUGUCCAGAACACAACAGAUAUUCCAUAUGCACAGUCACAUCCUAUGUAUGUGUAUUUCUUUUCCAGCAAGGAAUAGAGGUCCUAGGCUUUGUUUAUAUGGUGAGCCAGUGCCCAAAUGAGCAGCAGAAUCUUAGCACAGUCAGCUACACACUCAUUUCAAAGCUCUGGCCUCUUAUCCAAGCUUGUCAAAGUGUGGGCUAUGGUUUUGCAUUUUAAGGGAUCCCCGGGUGAAACUUGUGGCUGUCAAAGGAGGAGAAGCACUGCCCUCAAAAUAUAGAAAAGGUGAACUAAUUUAUACAGGCAGGUGGCUGUUUAUUUAUGUAUUUAUUUAUCUUGUUGAUGGGAAGAUUCAAAUUGACAUACACAAUCACCCCUAUAAGGAUUUCAGGUAAAAAACAAACAAAGGUUUAGAUAUCAGAUGUGUUUUACAAUUACCACACCAGUCUUUUUACUACAGAAUCUAGUAGCAUAUUUCCAAUAGAUCUAGGUGAAAAUUUCUAUCUCAUGACCCUUCUGUCAGUAUUUUUAAAAUUGGGUACUCCAUUAGUGGCAAAAUUGAAUCUCUUACAGGCAUCUCACUCAAACUGCAGUCAUACUUUCCAAUAGGCCCCAUAAAAAUCCUUGUUCUGGAGCAAUCUAAUAUAUUUAUCCACCUCUUUAGACACUUAGGUAAGUAUAAUAAUACAAGUUGUGUGUGUGUGUGUGUGUGUGUGUGUGUGUGUGUAUUGUGUACCUUGUGGCCUCUUGUCCAGUUUCUGCAACACCUGAAUCUGAGGCAAGUUUAAUGUAAAUAACAUCCAGCAAUGUCAGAAAUGUUGACUUUUAUGUGCCCAUCAGGAAAAAAGGAUGAAUGUUAUUGUAGAGUAAAUUUUCAAUCUGGAAAAAAUGCAUACUGUUUGAAUGUUGCUUUCAUGCUUUCCACAGAUAUUAUACACAGAUAUUAUAUUCCAAGGAUUAUGUUUCAAAGUCUUCAAAAAUAGAAAAUUCAUUUUAUAUUUCUAGCUGAAAAUAAAAACAGUAAUUAGCCUACCUUUGGGGAAAUGUGAUAAAAAUACUAAUGACCAUCACAACUCAUUAAAAGCAUAAAAUGUGCAAUGAUUUAAACUACAUGUUCUUUCUAUGAAUCUGCAUAGAAAUAUAGACACAUUUGAUAAAUGCUAUUUAAAGUCUGAGUGCUUUGGUAAAUGAUUCAUCUAUAGGUUGAAGGGAUUACUUUUAUCUGCCUUCAUAGUGAGAAUUAGAUUUCUAUUCUUUAUAAAGCAGGGAAUACAGAUUGUGCAUGGAGUAAAAGCCUUCAAUCCUUAUUAAUAAUGAUGGUAGCUGCGCUGCAGAAAAGAAAGCCUGUCAGAGUAACGUGUUCAGUUUUACAUCAUAAUCAGAGGUAUGUCGAUCUCUGUUGAAGGCAGAAUUAAAAACGCCUUCAACGUUUUUAAAAUAAUAGAUGAAAAACAUCUCAACGUCACUUUUAAAAUUUGAAUUGACGAUUCCACAUAACAGGAAAAGGACCAAGACCAUCUUAAAUACUUCAUGAUGGAAGUGAUGUUUUAAGUGCAAUUUCAUCAAGGAGAAGUUUUUCCAGAAAGUCUUUUGACCUCAGUAAGAAGCUUAUUUACUCUGGUAAAUAAUUUAUCGUAAGAUGAGAAAGACUCGAUUUUUUAAAAACAAUAAAAAAUUUACAUGGUUUAAUCUAAUGUUGUGAUUUCGAAAGUACUACUUUUGCCCUUAUAGUUACGCUUGUGUAUUUAUAUGCAUUUUUUUGGUUCAUUCAAAUGCCAAUAAAAUACUUUACUAUCCAGGCUCCUUAAAAGCCAAAUUAAUUUCUAAAAGUGAGGAUUGUAUGUAUGCUGUGAGGUGUGCGCAGGUGUAUGUGUGUGAUGUGUAUGUAUGGUGUGUGUUUGUGGUCUUUGUGUGUAGUAGGUUCAUGGGGUAUGUAUAUGUGUGUGUAGUGUGUAUUGUGGGUGUUAUGUGUGUAUACUGUGUGUAGUUUGUGGGUGGUGCAUGGUGUGUAUAUGUGCUGUGUUUGUGGUGUAUGUGUGUGUGGUGGGUGUGUACUACGUGUGGUGUGGUGUGCGUAUGAUAUAUGUGUGUGCAGUUUGUGGUUUAUGUGAUGUGUGUGUGUAUGGUGCUGGAUGUGUGUGUACUGUGUGUAGUGUUUGAUGUGUGAUGAGUGUAGAAUGUGUGGUGUGUGUGUGCACAGUAUGUGUGGUGUGUAUGUGAUGUGUGUGCUCUGUGUGGUGCUAUAUAUACGUGUGCAGUGUGUGGGGAGUAUGUGUGGGGCGUGUGUUUGAUGUGUGUGGGGAGUAUGGGGUGUGUGUGGUGCUGUAUGUGUAUGUUGUGUGUGUAGUAGAUUCUUGUGUGUGGUGUAGUGUGUGCGGUGUGUGGGGGGUAUGCGUGUGUGCACAUUGUGCAUUGUGGUGUGGGGAUGUGUGUGCAUGUGCACAUGGUGUGUGUGCAGUGUGUGUGGUGUCUGGGGUGUGUGUGUGCACAUGGUGUGUGUGUGGCGUAUCAGGGGUGUGCGUGUGUGCACCUGGUCUGUGUGCAGUGUAUGUGUCUGUGGUGGGGUGUGUGCACGUGCACAUGGUGUGUGGUGUGUGUGAUGUUUGGGGGUUUGUGUGCAUGUAUACAUGGUGUGUGUGCAGUGUGUGAUGUCUGUGUUGGGUGUGUGUGUACGUGGUAUGUGUGCAGUAUGUGUGGUGUGUGGGGGUGUGUGUGCGUGUAUGCAUGUUGUGCUGUGUGCAGUGUGUGUGGUGUCUGUGUGGUGUAUGUGUGGGGCAUGUGUGCUUGUGUACACUGUGUGUGGUGUGUGUGUGGUGUGUGCAUGUACACGGUGUGGCAUGUGCAGUGUGGUGGGCUGUGUGCAGUGUGUGGUGUCUGUGUGUGGGGUGUGUGUGCACAUGGAGUGGUGUGUGCGGUGUGUAGUCUCUGGGGUGUGUGCGUGUGCACGUGUGUGUGUGCAGUGUGGGGUGUGUAUACGUGCACAUGGUGUGUGUGCAGUGUGUGUGGUGUUUGUGCACAUGGUGUGUGUGCAGUGUGUGGUGUCUGUGUGAUGUGUGUGCAUGUGCUCAUGAGGUAUGUGCAGUGUGUAUGGUGUCUGGGUUGUGUGUGUGCAUAUGGUGUGGUGUGUGCAGUGGGUGUGGUGUCUGGGGUGUGUGUGCAGUGUGUGCGGUGUCUGUGGGGUGUGUAUGCAUGUGUGGGGGGAAAAGAAAAAGAUCAGACUGUUACUGUGUCUAUGUAGAAAGAAGUAGACAUAAGAGACUCCAUUUUGUUCUGUACUAAGAAAAAUUCUUCUGCCUUGAGAGGCUGUUAAUCUGUAACCGUACCCCCAACCCUGUGCUCCCUGAGACAUGUGCUGUGUCAAGUCAAGGUUAAAUGGAUUAACGGCUGUGCAGGAUGUGCUUUGUUAAACAAAUGCUUGAAGGCAGCAUUCUUGUUAAGAGUCAUCACCACUCCCUACUCUCAAGUACCCAGGGACACAAAACACUGCGGAAGGCCACAGGGAACUCUGCCUAGGAAAGCCAGGUAUUGUCCAAGGUUUCUCCCCAUGUGAUAGUCUGAAAUAUGGUCUCAUGGGAAGGGAAAGACCUGACCAUCCCCCAGCCUGACACCUAUAAAGGUUCUGUGCUGGGGAGGAUUAGUAAAAAGGAAGGCCUCUUUGCAGUUGAGAUAAGAGGAAGGCAUCUGUCUCCUGCUUGUCCCUGGGCAAUGGAAUAUCUCAGUGUAAAGCCCAGUUGUAUAUUCCAUCUACUGAGAUAGGGGAAAACUGCCUUAGGGCUGGAGGUGGGACAUGCUGGCAACAAUACUGCUCUUUAAGGCAUUGAGAUGUUUAUGUAUAUGAACAUCAAAAGCACAGCACUUUUUUCUUUACCUUGUUUAUGAUGCAGAGACAUUUGUUCAUAUGUUUUCCUGCUGACCUUCUCUCCACUAUUACCCUAUUGUCCUGCCACAUCCCCCUCUCUGAGAAACGCCUGAUAAUGAUCAAUAAAUACUAAGGGAACUGAGAGACUGGUGCCAGCGUGGGUCCUCCGUAUGCUGAGCGCCAUUCCCCUGGGCCCACUUUUCUUUCUCUAUACUUCGUCUCUGUGUCUCUUUUCUCAAGUCUCUUGUUCCACCCGAUGAGAAACGCCCACAAGUGUGGAGGGGCAGACCACCCCUUCACGUGUGCACAUGGUGUGUGUGCUGUUUGUGUGGUGUCUGUGUGUGGGGUGUGUGUGCACAUGGUGUGGUGUGUGCAGUGUGUGUUAUGAGUGACUGCUUCUCUUAGCAUGUGGACAUCAGUCUUCCAGACCAGCUUUCUCCAUGUGUCUGGGAACAUAAGAAACAAGUUUCUGCAAUAAUUGUUACACAGCUUUUCCAGAGAGGUACCAAAUCUCUGUCGUGAGUGGAUAUCUGCGUCAUUGCAGGAGGGAAUGUGAUGUCCUGGUUUGGCUCACACCCUCUGAGGGCUUAGGCAGGGUUCCUGAUGGAUCCCUCACUGUGGCCAGAGACGGAGGGCUCUGUUUCACCAUAGGGCACCGGAAGAGGACUGGUGCGUGGGAAGACCAGGUAAUCAUAAUGGUAGUAAUAAUAGUGGUAAUAAUACUGUUUUAUACAUUGUAUAUGUCAUAAGGAUUUUAAGUUUCAUCUAACAUAAUUGUUGUAAAAAUGUCCCCAGUUUGUUUUGUCCUAUUUACUUGGUGUGGAAAUGUGUAAGAAUGUACGUUUUAGGUACGUUAGGUUUAUUCCUUUUUAUAUAGUUUCUGUUUGCAAUUUUGAUUUUAGAAGACAUUCAUUCAUUCUCAAGGUCAUAAAACACAGGUACAUCUAAUUUUCU
rnacentral:lncRNA from 1 species